rnacentral:rRNA from 1 species
UUACUCUUCGGAGUGAGAGCGUACACAGGUGCUGCAUGGCUGUCGUCAGCUCGUGUCGUGAGAUGUUGGUUAAGUCCCGCAACGAGCGCAACCCUCGCAUUCAGUUGCCAUCGGUAAGGCCGGGCACUCUGGAUGGACUGCCGGCGACAAGCCGGAGGAAGGUGGGGAGUGACGUCAAGUCAUCAUGGCCCUUAUGUCCAGGGCGACACACGUGCUACAAUGGCCGGCACAACGGGAAGCGAAGGGGCGACCCUGAGCGGAUCCCCAUAAAAGCCGGUCCCAGUUCGGAUUGCAGUCUGCAACUCGACUGCAUGAAGUUGGAAUCGCUAGUAAUCGUGGAUCAGCCAAGCCGCGGUGAAUACGUUCCCGGGCCUU